AUGAACGCUGGCGGCGUGCCUAAUACAUGCAAGUCGAGCGAACAGACGAGGAGCUUGCUCCUCUGACGUUAGCGGCGGACGGGUGAGUAACACGUGGAUAACCUACCUAUAAGACUGGGAUAACUUCGGGAAACCGGAGCUAAUACCGGAUAAUAUAUUGAACCGCAUGGUUCAAUAGUGAAAGACGGUUUUGCUGUCACUUAUAGAUGGAUCCGCGCCGCAUUAGCUAGUUGGUAAGGUAACGGCUUACCAAGGCAACGAUGUGUAGCCGACCUGAGAGGGUGAUCGGCCACACUGGAACUGAGACACGGUCCAGACUCCUACGGGAGGCAGCAGUAGGGAAUCUUCCGCAAUGGGCGAAAGCCUGACGGAGCAACGCCGCGUGAGUGAUGAAGGUCUUCGGAUCGUAAAACUCUGUUAUUAGGGAAGAACAAAUGUGUAAGUAACUAUGCACGUCUUGACGGUACCUAAUCAGAAAGCCACGGCUAACUACGUG
rnacentral:rRNA from 1 species